rnacentral:rRNA from 1 species
UACGUAGGGUGCGAGCGUUGUCCGGAAUUACUGGGCGUAAAGAGCUCGUAGGUGGUUUGUCGCGUUGUUCGUGAAAACUCACAGCUUAACUGUGGGCGUGCGGGCGAUACGGGCAGACUUGAGUACUACAGGGGAGACUGGAAUUCCUGGUGUAGCGGUGAAAUGCGCAGAUAUCAGGAGGAACACCGGUGGCGAAGGCGGGUCUCUGGGCAACUACUGACGCUGAGGAGCGAAAGCGUGGGGAGCGAACAGG